AAAGUCGUAACAAGGUCUCCGUUGGUGAACCAGCGGAGGGAUCAUUACAGAGUUUCCACGCUCAGACCCGACGCGAACCCGAAACUGUUGCUUCGGCGGGCCGCCGGCCUUGCUGCCGCGUCCGCCGAAGGUCUACACUAGGCUCUUUGUUUACUUGGUAUCUGAAUACGCUUCUAAACCAGUCAAAACUUUCAACAACGGAUCUCUUGGUUCUG
rnacentral:misc_RNA from 1 species